rnacentral:rRNA from 1 species
GCGUUAUCCGGAUUCACUGGGUUUAAAGGGUGUGUAGGCGGGCUAUUAAGUCAGUGGUGAAAUCUCCGAGCUUAACUUGGAAACUGCCAUUGAUACUAUUAGUCUUGAAUUCUGUUGAGGUUGGCGGAAUAUAUCAUGUAGCGGUGAAAUGCAUAGAUAUGAUAUAGAACCCCGAUUGCGAAGGCAGCUAACUAAGCAGAUAUUGACGCUGAGGCACGAAAGCGUG